GCUCUGGCUGGGUGGUCCACCAAUGGCUGGUACUGCUCUGGCUGGGGUUAAUUCUGAUGAAUAGGUAUGCCCUUCACUGGUGUGUUCCUACGAACUUCAGACGAUUACCUUGAAAAAAUUAGAGUGUUUAAAGCAGGCUUAUGCUUGAAUACAUUAGCAUGGAAUAAUAAAAUAGGACGGCAUGGUUCUAUUUUGUUGGUUUCUAGGAUCACCGUA
rnacentral:rRNA from 1 species